AAAAACAAUAAAAAAUUGUUGUUAGUUGGGUUUCGGCCGAUUACUCAUCUAGCUUGAAGAGAGAGAGAGAGAGAUAUCUCACCGGAAUCUGUUGCCGGAAUUUCAAGCGACGACCAAAAUUACAUUUCAAAAUGUUCUUGCGAAGUAGGUUUCUAUCCUUCCCUAUGGUCAUCGGUGCAGUCAUGUAAGUUUCUCUCUUCUCUUUUCCUAUCUCCAAUUUUAAUUAAUUUAUCUCUAUAAAUUAAAUGCAUCCCCCAAUUUAAACUACUACUAUUAAAUUAAAUUAAUUCUGCUUGGAGAUUUUCAAUUAGCUUUGUCUAGUCGUGAUUUUCUAUGUGCUAUGUAGUAUUGGUGUUAUUUCUGGUAAGGCAAUAUUUGGACCUCCACUUGAUGACUAUUGGAAAAAGAAGCAUCAGGAAGAAGCCGCCGCCGCCGCCGCCGCCGCCGCUGCUAAAGAAAAUGACUCAAUCUCCACUUAGUUCUUUGGGCUCAAAAUAACAUUUGAAUUUUCUUUGUCAAUAUUGCUUCUUGUAGCAGAUUGACCUCUUACAGAGGGUAUAGUUACACUCCACAUUAUGGAAUUCUUUUGUUCUCUUCCUAUUCCUUUUUAUUGGACUAGAUUUAUAGAAAAUUAACUGUGUAACUUUUGUCAACUACCAUUAUGACUAAUAAUGUUGUUGAACUAGUGAUCAAUGUAAAACUUUGUUAUAUUGAAAUAAAAUAGUAUACUAUGUUUCAUUGACUUGCUCAGACAAAUGCAUUUUAGCAGAUUUAAAUGCAUACUGACAUCUGCCACUGCCAGUGGUUAAAUAGAAAGUUUG
rnacentral:lncRNA from 1 species